rnacentral:rRNA from 1 species
AGUGAACGCUGGCGGUAGGCCUAACACAUGCAAGUCGAACGGCAGCACAGUAAGAGCUUGCUCUUACGGGUGGCGAGUGGCGGACGGGUGAGGAAUACAUCGGAAUCUACUUUUUCGUGGGGGAUAACGUAGGGAGACUUACGCUAAUACCGCAUACGACCUACGGGUGAAAGCAGGGGAUCUUCGGACCUUGCGCGAUUGAAUGAGCCGAUGUCGGAUUAGCUAGUUGGCGGGGUAAAGGCCCACCAAGGCGACGAUCCGUAGCUGGUCUGAGAGGAUGAUCAGCCACACUGGAACUGAGCCACGGUCCAGCCUCCUACGGGAGGCAGCAGUGGGGAAUAUUGGACAAUGGGCGCAAGCCUGAUCCAGCCAUACCGCGUGGGUGAAGAAGGCCUUCGGGUUGUAAAGCCCUUUUGUUGGGAAAGAAAAGCAGCAGGUUAAUACCCCGCUGUUCUGACGGUACCCAAAGAAUAAGCACCGGCUAACUUCGUG